rnacentral:rRNA from 1 species
CUAACGCAUUAAGUGCCCCGCCUGGGGAGUACGGCCGCAAGGCUAAAACUCAAAGGAAUUGACGGGGGCCCGCACAAGCGGCGGAGCAUGCGGAUUAAUUCGAUGCAACGCGAAGAACCUUACCAAGGCUUGACAUGAACCGGAAAGGCCUGGAAACAGGUCCCCCACUUGUGGCCGGUUUACAGGUGGUGCAUGGUUGUCGUCAGCUCGUGUCGUGAGAUGUUGGGUUAAGUCCCGCAACGAGCGCAACCCUCGUUCUAUGUUGCCAGCGGGUUAUGCCGGGGACUCAUAGGAGACUGCCGGGGUCAACUCGGAGGAAGGUGGGGACGACGUCAAAUCAUCAUGCCCCUUAUGUCUUGGGCUUCACGCAUGCUACAAUGGCCGGUACAAAGGGUUGCGAUACUGUGAGGUGGAGCUAAUCCCAAAAAGCCGGUCUCAGUUCGGAUUGAGGUCUGCAACUCGACCUCAUGAAGUUGGAGUCGCUAGUAAUCGCAGAUCAGCAACGCUGCGGUGAAUACGUUCCCGGGCCUUGUACACACCGCCCGUCAAGUCACGAAAGUUGGUAACACCCGAAGCCG